rnacentral:tRNA from 2 species
AGGGACUUAGGCUAAAUAAAACCGGUAACCUUCAAAGCUACAAUCAAGAGUUUAAACCUCUUAGCCCCUG